UAAUCAGGGCAACGGCUCUUAGUCUGGCAUAAGUGAUAUAUUGACUCUGUGUAUGAGCUCCGUGGACUCUUUAUUUACAAUCACGUAAGUCUAAUUGCUUUAGAAGAUCAAGGUGAUUUUUGACUUGCUCAGAAAACCUGGGGGAAAGUUUCUGAACAUUUUAAAAGAUAUCCCGAGAUAGGCUCUGAGUGCCUUCCGGAAGAAGUCCCAUCCUGUGUGAACAGCUCUAGCUGUUGCUGUGCAGUGGGUGAGACCCUGUACUGUGGCAUUGAUCCCACUCUGUGGGCCAGGCACUGGGACGCAGAGCCUUCUCUGGGAAGGCAGGACAAGCAGCUGGCUCACCGGGGGACUGGCUCUCUGCCCUAGCUUCUCCCACUUAGAGCCGUGCCCAGCAUGUUAGGAGGGAGACCCGUAGUCCUUGCACCUGAUGUGAAGGUUUGUUGGUUUCUUCCUCCAGCCAAGCUUCCUGUCAGCUUGGCUCUGAGCUUGGUGAAUUAUGACUCAGAGAUGUGUGGUUCCCUGUUGCGGGGAGCAGGUGAUGCUUCUGUUUGCUAACAGGCCCUCUUCCUGAGGCAGCUGCCUCCUGCAGCCUCUGAGCCUCUCGGCCCCCUCGUUCAGUGCCCUGAGGGAGAGGGAGAAGGAGAUGCCAAACGCUUAUCUGGUACUGCCAGGGAAAACCCGUCCACAGACUCUGAUGCCCGUGUCUACUGAGUCCUGUGCUGCAGCCUGUUAGGAAAUCUUUAUGGAUAAUUUGGUGAUGUAUUACCAGGACAGAGCGUUCCAGGCCUUUAUCUCAUUAUCACCUUCUUUCUUCUUUCUUCUCCUCCUUCUCUUCCUCCUCCCACCCCCCCACUCCUCCUCCUCCUCCUCCAUCAAGAUCAUUAUCAUCAUCUUCAUUAAGUGCCUAAUUCUGCGUGAUUUUCUGCUUGAUACUGAAGCAAACAUUAAGCAGUCUGUAUUUCCUCUGUCUGGGAUUAUAACUUAGGGUAAACAUAAUAGCCUACGGUGUAAAUUUAUAAAUAUUACAGAAAGAUGAAACCAGCUUGAUAGCAGCCAGCAAGGGGAGCUCAUUCUGACUGACAUAUGAGAAGGAGGUAUGUAGGUAACUGGGGUAGCUCAAGGAAAAGGAGCACUUUGCCUCUCUCUGGUUGGUAUUUUGGGGGGAUGGUGCCAGCAGAGCUCCCCUUUGCUGAGUCUCAGUGGUCAAAGAGAGUUGGAGGUGGGUGGGUGUUCUGGGGGUUCUCUGUGCUUGGCUUUAUGGGGAGGAAUCAGGAGUUGAGUGAGUUCUGACCAGUGGUACUGGAGGUGUGUGGACACAGCAUCACCCCAGAAAGAAACCAGGAUCCAGACUCGGACCUGGCUUUGAAUCACAGCCCUGUUACCAGCUGUAGGACCUGGGGCAGAUCAUGCAACCAGCCAUUUUUAUCCUCUUUUUAUCUGACGAUAAAAUGGGAAUAAUAACAUCUACUUUGCCAUAUCUAUUUGAGAUCCCUGGCAUGGAUCACAAAGAGUAAUUACUGCUGUCUUUGUACACAGAAGGCUCAAAUAAGUAACAACAUCUGGAGGGCCCACAUGAAAAAUUCUGGAAGGCUGGAUUUCACCAUGACUGCAUUUCCUAAAGGUGGCAUGGCCCUGGGUUAAAAUCUAGGUUUUGUGCUAUAAGUAGAUCCACAAUCUAAAGAAGAUGAAACUGUUUGUUUUUGUUUGUUUGCUUUUUUGUGUUUUGUUUUGUUUUGCUUUAAAGCUCUCAAAACCCUAUAGGGAGAGGCAGAGAAAUCUACCUUAUUUCACACCAGCCUUUCUGAACAGUGGCUUUGGAGGUGUGACAGGGAUCCCAGCUGUGGGUAAACUUCAAGCCCUCAGCACUGCAUCUCUGUAUGCUGCCUGCUAAUGCUGAACCACAGCUUCCUUUUUAUAAGUUUCCACAUGCUUCCUUUGUAGCUGCAGCCUGCCCAGGCUGCAAGAGGAGAGGCCCUGGGGUCCAGAGGUAAGCUGAGUUCUGUUCCUGCCGCACCGCAUUCCGAGUUGGCUCAGCAAGAUGAGGACAUGUCUUUGGAGCAGCCCACCAGAUGCCUUGUUUGGAGUGUGGGCAGAACAGAUUAAAAGUGCACAAUUUCUGAUUCAGAUAACCCUGGGGCUGGAGGUUCUCAAACUUUCCUGCUCCAAGGUCGUCUUCCUUUCUCUUCUUAUCCCAUGCACAAGAAGUCAGUGAAGAGGAGUAGGCAGAGAGUUGCAGCAGAGCUGAAUUCUAGUUCUGUGUCAUCCUGGAUUCCCAUUACCCAAUCUAGGCUAGGGUUUCUGUCAGUAAAUGGCCAAGGUGGACAGAGGUCCCUCUUACGUUGUAGUGCCUGGACCUUAAACUCCAAGGGCACGUAGAAUGUCCCCUUCAUUCUCCCCAUGGUGGGCCCACACACCCAGGUGUCUGUUUUUUGUGUCUCUGCUUCCCUGACAGCCCCAGAGCCUGGCUAUUUGUCACCUACCUUGUGUGUGGAAAAGAGGGUGCUGGGGGCUUGAGCUCAGAAAGGAAGUGAGAGAAAUAAGAGCCUGUUGCAAGCCUGGGUUGCUUUGGGAGGGUGGGGAGGAUGGGGUGGUGGAAAGUUGUGCUCAUUUCUAUGUGCCUGAUGGAAAUUGAGACUGGGUUGCUGGAAGCAAGAGACCAUCCAAUAAACACUAGUCCAGGAUGGAGUUGAGGGGCUCUGGUUCCUGAAAAUUUCUCUUCUCUGCUCCAGGAUUUUUGCAUGAAACCUUUCAACACUGAGCACUCAGCUAAAGCUUGGCACUGUUCCUCAGCCGCUGGUCUUCCUGUCCAACUGGCCAGGCUGCCAGAAGUGGCUCAUUGUGUUUUGGGGCAGUGGGGUUUAGUGAAACUUAUGAUCUCACUCUUAGAGUUUCCUCCUCCCAGUCCACACUUGAACAAAUCUCAUGCCCAAGAUGGAGCCAAAGAAGCUGAAAUGAAAGGUGGGUCAACACAUGGGAAAUGAAGUAAACAGAUUAAAAUAAAAGAGAUGUUAUAAGAAACAUCUCAUCAAUGCAGUACCUUCAUUAUCUGGAUAUUCCAGACGGAACCUGCAGAAUGGCUUGCUUCCUGAAUAUAGAUACAUCUAAAGACAAUGAGAUUUUGUGACCCAUAGUAUUCUCUGCCUGGUGCCCCGUGAUAUGCUCAAUGGAGGUAAAAAUGCCAAGUGUGGUCUGUAAAAAAAAUUUUUUUAUGGUUUCUUAGAAAUGACUGCCAUCCAUAGCACUUAGCGUGGAAAGUAGCAGAUGGAGUUGCAUAUUCCCCAUGGGAGUAAGGACACGUGCAGAGAUUUUUUUUUCUUCCUCCAGUGCAUUUCUUAUUGAGACACAAUGGAGGCUCAUGGAAUUUGAUGCCUUUGCUCAUCGCUGCCCAAGACUAAAUUCAGCCCAAAUUGUUCCUGUUGGAGCAGUGAACUUGGAUGGCUCUUUUACCGACGCAGGAAGGGGAGAUUCCAUUUUCUGCCGGAGCUCAGUGCAGUCUGCCUGAAGGCUGAGGGGUCCGGAUGCUGAGCCGGUGACCGACUUGGAUUCAGGAGCAGCAGUGUCAGCAUCCGGAGGUUCAGACUAGCUUGGAAACAGAUGCCAUUAAAGCAGAACAGAAUUUACACUGAACAAGCUGCCACCACAGCUCACAUGGCCACCAUCUGCUGUAGUAAGUAAUGUCUCCACCAUCAUGGGCUCCCUGCUUCUUCUGGUUGCCUUCCCGUGCCUCUGGGGCUCUCUUGCUUUGGCAGCUGCAUCAGACCGAUCAGCUUGGACCAAUGGGCUUCUCCCUCCCAACUCAGUGAAAUCUGCGGUUUGAAAGAGCCUCAGGAGGAAAGCAGUACUUAUUCCAGAAGAACAAACCUGUGAAUGGUGGCCCAGCAGGGCCGGGGAGAUUGCUAUUGCACAGGGUGCCCUUUGGAGUGCCCGUCCUUUGAAUCAGACCGUCUAGGAAGCUCAAGAACCUUGUUUGACCAGAUCAAUAUGAUGAAGGAGGAGAAAGAAUGUGCCAUCCAGGAAGAGAUGGGGGAGUAAGUACAAGUGCCAUGUGGGAGGCAGGAAGACGACGGACUGAGAGGUCAAGGUUGGCACACUAGGAAGGCAGAAGACCCCCAUCUCCCCGCAACUUAAUGCAUUGAGUCCUAAAGGCAGUUGUGUUCUGCUGUGGCGAUGAAAGGACCAAAAGUCACGUAACUGGCUCUGAAGCCAGGCUCACAAAAUGCACGGCUCUCAGGCUGUGUCCCUGGGCUGGCCGGAGGAGACCCGAGAGAGGGUCCUGAAAACUGCACGGCUCAGUGUAAAUGGGUAUGUUGGCUUUCUUGUUUGUCCCUCGAUCUCCCCUGAGCUUAAAUCCUUAAGAGCCAAAUUCACUGUGCUGACAACAUGAAAUAUCACAGCCUGCAAAGGGGAGG